UACGGGGGGAGCAAGCGUUGUUCGGAUUUACUGGGCGUAAAGGGCGCGUAGGCGGUCGUGACAAGUCACUUGUGAAAUCUCCGGGCUUAACUCGGAACGGUCAAGUGAUACUGUCGGACUAGAGUACAGAAGGGGCAACUGGAAUUCUCGGUGUAGCGGUGAAAUGCGUAGAGAUGUGGAGGAACACCAGUGGCGAAGGCGGCUUUUUGGUCUGUAACUGACGCUGAGGCGCGAAAGCGUGGGGAGCAAACAGG
rnacentral:rRNA from 1 species